UUGAUUGAAAAUAGCCACGUCAGAGGU
rnacentral:sRNA from 1 species